rnacentral:rRNA from 1 species
UACGUAGGUGGCAAGCGUUGUCCGGAAUUAUUGGGCGUAAAGCGCGCGCAGGCGGUCCCUUAAGUCUGAUGUGAAAGCCCCCGGCUUAACCGGGGAGGGUCAUUGGAAACUGGGGGACUUGAGUGCAGAAGAGAAGAGCGGAAUUCCACGUGUAGCGGUGAAAUGCGUAGAGAUGUGGAGGAACACCAGUGGCGAAGGCGGCUCUUUGGUCUGUAACUGACGCUGAGGCGCGAAAGCGUGGGGAGCAAACAGGAUUAGAUAC